UACGUAGGUGGCAAGCGUUGUCCGGAAUUAUUGGGCGUAAAGCGCGCGCAGGCGGUCCUUUAAGUCUGAUGUGAAAGCCCACGGCUCAACCGUGGAGGGUCAUUGGAAACUGGGGGACUUGAGUGCAGAAGAGGAAGGCGGAAUUCCACGUGUAGCGGUGAAAUGCGUAGAGAUGUGGAGGAACACCAGUGGCGAAGGCGGCUUUCUGGUCUGUAACUGACGCUGAGAGACGAAAGCUAGGGGAGCGAAUGGG
rnacentral:rRNA from 1 species